ACCCGCUGAACUUAAGCAUAUCAAUAAGCGGAGGAAAAGAAACCAGCAGGGAUUGCCCUAGUAACGGCGAGUGAAGCGGCAACAGCUCAAAUUUGAAAUCUGGCUCUUUUAGAGUCCGAGUUGUAAUUUGCAGAGGGCGCUUUGGCUUUGGCAGCGGUCCAAGUUCCUUGGAACAGGACGUCACAGAGGGUGAGAAUCCCGUACGUGGUCGCUGGCUAUUGCCGUGUAAAGCCCCUUCGACGAGUCGAGUUGUUUGGGAAUGCAGCUCUAAAUGGGAGGUACAUUUCUUCUAAAGCUAAAUAUUGGCCAGAGACCGAUAGCGCACAAGUAGAGUGAUCGAAAGAUGAAAAGCACUUUGGAAAGAGAGUCAAACAGCACGUGAAAUUGUUGAAAGGGAAGCGCUUGCAGCCAGACUUGCUUACAGUUGCUCAUCCGGGCUUUUGCCCGGUGCACUCUUCUGUAGGCAGGCCAGCAUCAGUUUGGGCGGUAGGAUAAAGGUCUCUGUCACGUACCUCUCUUCGGGGAGGCCUUAUAGGGGAGACGACAUACUACCAGCCUGGACUGAGGUCCGCGCAUCUGCUAGGAUGCUGGCGUAAUGGCUGU
rnacentral:rRNA from 1 species